rnacentral:tRNA from 1 species
AACUUCGGUUAGCUCAGUUGGCAGAGCAUCAGAUUUAAGAUCUGACUGUCGCAGGUUCGAUUCCUGUACCAGUUG